GCCGGGUGUGGUGGCACAUGCCUGUAAUCCCAGCUCCUCAGGAGGCUGAGGCAGGAGAAUCGCUUGAACCCAGGAGGUGGAGGUUGCAGUGAGCCGAGAUCACACCACUGUACUCCAGCCUGUGUGACAGAGCGAGAUCCUGUCUCAA
rnacentral:SRP_RNA from 1 species